GAUGAACGCUGGCGGCGUGCCUAAUACAUGCAAGUCGAGCGAACAGAUAAGGAGCUUGCUCCUUUGACGUUAGCGGCGGACGGGUGAGUAACACGUGGGUAACCUACCUAUAAGACUGGGAUAACUUCGGGAAACCGGAGCUAAUACCGGAUAACAUUUGGAACCGCAUGGUUCUAAAGUGAAAGAUGGUUUUGCUAUCACUUAUAGAUGGACCCGCGCCGUAUUAGCUAGUUGGUAAGGUAACGGCUUACCAAGGCGACGAUACGUAGCCGACCUGAGAGGGUGAUCGGCCACACUAGAACUGAGACACGGUCCAGACUCCUACGGGAGGCAGCAGUAGGGAAUCUUCCGCAAUGGGCGAAAGCCUGACGGAGCAACGCCGCGUGAGUGAUGAAGGGUUUCGGCUCGUAAAACUCUGUUAUUAGGGAAGAACAAACGUGUAAGUAACUGUGCACGUCUUGACGGUACCUAAUCAGAAAGCCACGGCUAACUACGUG
rnacentral:rRNA from 1 species